GAGCCGUUAGGCCUCCCAGGUCCUUAGGUUCAGGGUUGCCCUCAGGACCCCUUCCCAUAUCCUCCAUUCUCCACCCUGAGUUCCUACCCAGGCUGCCUGGCCAGGGCCACUGCCUGCUCAGCAUGCAGGAGGCUGCCCUGCAGGGAGCCCCAGCUCUGGGGCUUGGGGGUGAGGGUCAGCCCUGGACAGACCUCUGCCCAGGGAACUGCUCCAUGGGGUCUGGGAGAGCAGCCAUCCCUGGCUGGCACCAUAGACCCACACAAGGAGCCUGCACAGCAAGCCAGCAGUGACACACCUGCAGGUGUCACGCAUGGCACUGGGCACAACAGGGACCUGGCAGGAGAAACAGACCACAGAGAGGUCUGGAGUUGAGGCUGUCAUCAGCAAAGCCCCUGGUCCCACGCAGCUCUGCCCUGGAGCCACCUCUUUGACCCUUUACCCACCCCGAGACCAGAACCUACAGCCCCUCUACAGAUCUUCUCUGGCCACUGCAGCCCCUCUACAGAUCUCCUCUGGCCACUGCAGCCCCUCUACAGAUCUCCUCUGGCCACUGCAGCCCCCCUACAGAUCUCCUCUGGCCACUGCAGCCCCCCUACAGAUCUCCUCUGGCCACUGCAGCCCCCCUACAGAUCUCCUCUGGCCACUGCAGCCCCUCUACAGAUAUCCUCUGGCCACUGCAGCCCCUCCAACGGGCUUUUUCUCUCCUGCAUUCCCUGGCCUGGAGGGGUCAGGGCCCCCACAUCCUCUCUGCUCCUCAGAUUCACACCCCCUCCAUGUUACCUCCCGCACCUCCUCCCUGGGGCAGCUGCUCCCUGGGCCUCUGAGGAUGUCAGCUCCUGGCUCCCUGCCUCUCUCCCACUGCACUCCUGGCUCAGUCUUAGAGGUUUCUAUGCCCCCAUAGAUUCUACCCCUGCCUUCCUGGCCUCUUGAUUCUUGGCUUGCCUCUCCUCCAAUUCCAAACUUAGUGAAAUGGCCUUAAACAUUUUAAAUUGUAUGUAUAAAUUUAGCACAAUCAUGCCUUUUUAAAAGCAUUUCAAAUGUCAAACCAGGAAGGCACACCACUGUAUUAGUUCUAUACUGCUGCUGUAAAAUUUACCACAAACUUAGUGGCUUAGAACAACACAAAUGUAUUGCAAUUCUGUAGGCUGGAAGUCUGACUACAGGUCUCACUGGACUAGAAUCAAGGCUGGCAGGCUGCCUUCCUUCCUGGAGGUUCUAGGGGAGACUCUGUCUCCUGCUUCUUCAGGCUGCUGGCAGAAUCCACAUCCUUUCAGUGGCAGGGCCAAGGUCCCUACUUUCUUGCUGGCUGUAAACUAAGGCCACUUCCAGCUUGUAGAGGCUGCCUACAUUCCUUGGCUCUUGGCCUCCUCCUCCAUCUUCAAAGCUAGCAGUUUCAGUCUGUAUCACGAAACAUUUCUCUGGUUCUCUGCAGACAGGAAAGGUUGUCCCUAAGGACUCAUGAGAUUAGGUUGGGCCCAGCCAGAUAAUACAGGAUAAUCUCCCUCCUCAAGGUUUUUAAUAUUAAACACAUCUGCAGGACACAUUUUGCCAUGUAAACUAACAUUCACUGGUUCCAGGGAUUAAGGAAGGAAACUCUUUUGUUGGGGAAGGGUGGCAUUCUGCUGACCACAGCACCCCAACCAAAAGCCAAAAACCAAAGCAAGACUUACUAAUGCAUAUCAAAUAAAUUAAAUGUGCAAAAUAGUGAAUCUCAGUUAUCUUAAAUAUUCCAAUACUAUUUACAAAAUUAUUCUAAUGCUCACACCUUCCAACUCAAAAUUAGUAAUCUAAAAUAAUCUCCAUAUCCUAGAUGGAAACCCUCAUGUGAAACUGUCUGAUUACGCACGGUCCUAAAUGGUUUCAGUGGCAAACACAUAACAUUGUACUACUGAUUAAACUGAACUUAAAAGCAUCAAUACUACCAUUGCUGCACUUAA
ensembl:lncRNA